rnacentral:misc_RNA from 1 species
GUGAAUCAUCAAAUUUUUGAACGCAAAUUGCACUCUCUUCGGAGAGUAUGCCUGUUUGAGGGUCAGCCUAAAAAAAAUCGACAUCGUUGCUGUUUCGCGGUGGCAUUCGUCGGAAAUUGGGUCAUCUUAAAUCUUUGGGUUUUAAGCGGCUUAAAAUUUUCUUUACGAUUCCACGAACGUUUCUAAGAUUUAUUUCUUAACAUUUUGGUAGUGUUUUUUUUUAUUCGUGUUCGUUGC